GCGCACGUGGCGGAAUUGGUAGACGCGCUAGCUUGAGGGGCUAGUGAUCAUUAGAUCGUGGAAGUUCGAGUCUUCUCGUGCGCACAA
rnacentral:tRNA from 1 species